ACCUACAAGCGGUGGAUCACU
rnacentral:rRNA from 1 species